AUGCAAGGAAGAAGAGUCCAAAGUAUCACCAGGAAAGAAUCUGCAAGGAAUAACCGAGAAGAAAAACUAACAUCUUGCAUCACAGAGAGUUGGCUUCCCCUUCAAACUCUUCCACCAACUUGGAGGGCACCAUCAUGGAAAAAUACAGGAUCCACAUUGCUGUGUCUGCUCAACACUGUUAAAUAUGACAAGAAUAGAAGUGGUUACUGGUACCAGAAGAAAACUGAAAUUCUACAAAUAUACAUCAGGAUCCCACUCUGUCCCACUAUCAUUUUCAGCUGGAGUGCCAUGGCCCGGUCUUGGCUCACUGCAACCUCCACCUCCCAGGUUCAAGUGAUUUUCCUGCAUCAGCCUCCUGAGUAG
rnacentral:lncRNA from 1 species